AGAGUUUGAUCCUGGCUCAGAACAAACGCUGGCGGCGUGUCUUAAGCAUGCAAGUUGAGCGGCAAGGGGGAGCGAUCCCUCCUAGAGCAGCGGACUGGUGAGUAACGCGUGGGUAAUCUGCCUUGGGCAUGGGGAUAGCCAUUAGAAAUAGUGGGUAAUACCGAAUACGUUCCACGGGGGGAGUGCUUGUGGAAGAAAGGGUGCUACGGCACUGGCCUGAGAUGAGCUCGCGUCCCAUUAGCUAGUUGGUGAGGUAAAGGCCCACCAAGGCGAUGAUGGGUAGCCGGCCUGAGAGGGUGUACGGCCACACUGGGACUGAGAUACGGCCCAGACUCCUACGGGAGGCAGCAGCUAAGAAUAUUCCGCAAUGGACGGAAGUCUGACGGAGCGACGCCGCGUGGAUGAAGAAGGCCGAAAGGUUGUAAAGUUCUUUUGCUGGGGAAGAAUAACCGCAGGAGGGAAUGCCUGUGGGAUGACAAGAACCGGCGAAUAAGCCCCGGCCAACUACGUGCCAGCAGCCGCGGUAACACGUAGGGGGCGAGCGUUGUUCGGAAUUACUGGGCGUAAAGGGCAUGUAGGCGGCUUGGAAAGCCUGGCGUGAAAGUCUGCAGCUUAACUGCAGGGGUGCGCUGGGAACUGCUGAGCUUGAGUGACGGAGAGGGAGCUGGAAUUCCUGGUGUAGGGGUGAAAUCUGUAGAUAUCAGGAAGA
rnacentral:rRNA from 1 species